UGCAUCUGUAACUCAUGAGGAAGAGAACCCCCGGGGGCGGGGAGGUUCGACUCGAGCGAAGCGAGAGAACGUUGCGCCAGCAACGGCCCGCAGGGCGAGCCACGAAGUGGCGAGUAAUCCUCUAUCACCGACCA
rnacentral:sRNA from 1 species